UACAGAGGUCCCAAGCGUUGUUCGGAUUCACUGGGCGUAAAGGGUGCGUAGGCGGUCGGGUAAGUCUGAUGUGAAAUCUCAGAGCUCAACUCUGAAACUGCAUUGGAUACUAUUCGGCUUGAGGUCUGGAGGGGGGACUGGAAUUCUCGGUGUAGCAGUGAAAUGCGUAGAUAUCGAGAGGAACACCAGUGGCGAAGGCGGCUUCCUGGCCUGUUCUUGACGCUGAGGCGCGAAAGCUAGGGGAGCAAACGGG
rnacentral:rRNA from 1 species